GACGAACGCUGGCGGCGUGCUUAACACAUGCAAGUCGAACGGUGAUGCUCCAGCUUGCUGGCGUGGAUCAGUGGCGAACGGGUGAGUAACACGUGAGCAACCUGCCCCAGACUCUGGGAUAAGCGCUGGAAACGGCGUCUAAUACUGGAUACGAAACUGGCACGCAUGGGCAUGGUUAGGAAAGUUCGUCGGUUUUGGAUGGGCUGGCGGGCUAUCAGCUUGUUGGUGAGGUAAUGGCUCACCAAGGCGACGACGGGUAGCCGGCCUGAGAGGGCGACCGGCCACACUGGGCCUGCGACACGGCCCAGUAUCCUACGGGAGGCAGAAGGGGGGAAUAUGGCACAAUGGGCGCAAGCCUGAUGCAGCGACGCCGCGUGCGUGAUGACGGCCUUCGGGUUGUAAACCUCUUUCAGCAGGGAAGAAGCGAAAGUGACGGUACCUGCAGAAGAAGCACCGGCUAACUACGUG
rnacentral:rRNA from 1 species